GGCAAAUUGAUGUAGGAGACUGUGACUGAAUGAUUGACAGUCUGAGUGAAUGAAGGAGUGAAUGAGUGGAGACAUGACUUCCCUGCCUUGUAGGGUCUUUCUCUUCAAAUGGAAGACUUCCCCCAUAGCCUUUGAAUGCUCAAUCUAAUUAAGGCAAAAAGGCAUCAGAGAAUUACUGGGCCUGUCCUUUAUUAACUGUCAAGUCCAAUCUGUAGGCUGUUUAUGUGCCAAGGUCAGAGAUCAGCCUUUAGCUGCUCUCCUUUCAUUCAUCUGGCAAAGAGCGGAACAUAAAGUUUAUUGAUGCAAAACUGAUUGGCAGGCAGGGGUAACUAGGUGGCAGGGAGAGAGAAUAUCAGAAAGAGUUCUAAGCCACAGCCAUUCAGCUUGCUCUUUGCUGUGCUGAAUUCCUUGUGCUUCAGGAUGCUGAGUCACAGCUUUUGCACUAAAAUCCAGAUGAGCAGCAGAUGCCAUACGGCCCUGGGCAAUUCUCCUGGAACCCAGCUAGAUGGAGAGGGUCUCAGCUACUCAGAAGGCUAAGGAAGGAGGAUGACAAGUUCAAGUCCAGCCUGGGAACUUGGACCGUAUCUCAAAAAAAAAAAAAAAAAAAAAAAAAUGGAGCUGGCUGAAUGUGAAUGUCCACGCCUGUAAUCCCAGGGACUCUGGAGGCUGAAGCAGGAGGAUCACAAGUUUGAUGCCCUAAACAAAUUAAAAUAAAAAGGGCUGGGGAAGUAUCUCAGUGGUAAAGCACCCCUGGGUUCAAUUGCCAGUGUGGGGCAGAUAAAAAGGGCUGAAAAUGUAGCUCAGUGGUAGAGCAUUUGCCGAACAGGGAAGGCCCUGUGUUCCAACCUCAGUACCUCGAAAAAAAUGAGAAAGCACU
rnacentral:lncRNA from 1 species